GCACCCAUAGCUCAACUGGAUAGAGCGGCUGACUACGGAUCAGCAGGUUGGGAGUUCAAAUCUCUCUGGGUGCACCA
rnacentral:tRNA from 1 species